AUUGAACGCUGGCGGCAUGCUUUACACAUGCAAGUCGAACGGCAGCGCGGGCUUCGGUCUGGCGGCGAGUGGCGAACGGGUGAGUAAUGCAUCGGAACGUGCCCAGUUGUGGGGGAUAGCCCGGCGAAAGCCGGAUUAAUACCGCAUACGACCUGAGGGUGAAAGCGGGGGACCGAAAGGCCUCGCGCUAUUGGAGCGGCCGAUGUCGGAUUAGCUAGUUGGUGGGGUAAAGGCUUACCAAGGCGACGAUCCGUAGCUGGUCUGAGAGGACGACCAGCCACACUGGAACUGAGACACGGCCCAGACUCCUACGGGAGGCAGCAGUGGGGAAUUUUGGACAAUGGGGGCAACCCUGAUCCAGCCAUGCCGCGUGCGGGAAGAAGGCCUUCGGGUUGUAAACCGCUUUUGUUCGGGAAGAAAUCCUCUGGGCUAAUACCCCGGGGGGAUGACGGUACCGGAAGAAUAAGCACCGGCUAACUACGUG
rnacentral:rRNA from 1 species